AUUACAGUAGAUAAAUGUACAGCAAUGGUUGUUGAAACUGUUGCUAUAUUCAGCUAUAACAAUACUUAAUGAGUACAAAAAUGUCUAUACUGUUAAAAAACCCCCAAAAUUGCUACAAUAUCUGAUGGUAUUUGAAUCAAGAUCUUCAAAUAUAUAUUUUUUCCAACUUCAAUAAGAUACUGUGGGAAAAGAAGAAAAGGGCAAACAACAACGAGUUUGCAUCAACGUGAUAGAUAGUACCAUUCACUUUACUCUUGAGAAAAAAAGAGACAAAAUUUACUUGUUUUGGUGAGCUUCAGACCGACUGUAGUGAGCUGCACGUAGUGAGCUUCAGCCCGACUGCAGAAUUACAUUUUGGUUGAAACUUCCACUGGGUCUUUCUCCCAGCAAACUUUGACGCAACAACAAAAUGUCCUGAUGAAUUUCUUAGGAGAAUACGAGUGACUGCGCAGCUUUUGAGGGCCGUAGUUGGAAUGGAAGACUACUAGAGGACCUAUGAUACUCAGGCUGACCAAUUUCUGAUUGUUCUAUGCACUUUGUAAAGCUGCUUACUUUGGAUUCUUUAUUUACUACUUUACUACUUUUCAGCAUUACCUCAGGGUGUUUAUAUUUCUUAUACUGUUAUGUCGUUUCUCAGUUUAGAUUUAGCAAGAUGUCAUUUCUCAGUUUGUUGUCGUAAUUCCCUGAAUUUGUCAUCUAAAUUCCUUCUGUGUAUUUCAAUUUAUGUAGAUGAAUGGUGGGAGCAAUUUAUGGAUACAUAAUCAUAUUAACUAACACUCUAGUGAGCUAAUAAGAACUUUGACUAACUUCAUUGGGAAAAAAUAAACUACAAAUUAACUACUCCCUUAGUUCCAAUUUGCAAGUCAUAAUCUGCUAAAAGAAAUUUGAGAUAAAACUUUGAGAGUACGUGAUGUUUAUCCCUUAUUAGGAAUUCCUAAUAACCUCUUGUCAUGGAAUACUUCCCAGUUUGUGUUAAUAAUAACUGGUCCGAUCAUAUCAGUGUUGCAUUGUCAACUGGUUCUAUGUGAGUCUAGAUAUCACCACCUUUAAUGUAUAUCUCAUGCACCCAUUUUAACCACAAGGAUUUUUUCUACAUGCUAGCUGAUACAGAAGCUUACCAACUGAUGCUACAUUCCAUAGCCCCCCCCCCCCCCGAUAUCUACAUGCUAGCUUACCACUGUUGCUAGCUGGUAACACUCUAGCUUGCUCCAUCUCUUAUAAUAAAGAGUACUACCCAUAUAUCUAAUAGGAAAGCAUCCUUUGGAGAAGCUAGUAAUCUACAACUAAAAAAACGUAGAUUGAUAGCAUCUUAGUACUCAGAUGGGCCAUGAAGAACUCUGAACAUUCAAACAUCACAGUCAUCUCCUAUUAAAUACUUACAUGUUUCUGGACAUUAAUGCAACAUGUUACACCUUGAAUGUUCUCUAAUUCAUAAUGUGCAGCAAAAAGAAAAAUGCAAUCAAGGUCAGUCUCCGUUUAUUCUUCUUAUUCUUCUCGUCCCUUUUUCUUCUUUUUUUAUUGGCUGCAUCUGUUGAUGUGAUGGCUGAAUCUUUGUUAUACACUAUAGUUUAUGUAAGUGAAUAUAAUCAAUAGUUAGUUACUCCCAUGUACUGAAUAUUUGGCUGCUAGGAGCUAACAAGUUAGUAUAGUAAUAUUUUUCCGAAGUUUGAAAGAAACGUACCACUCCAAGCUUGUAGUCAAUAAUUUGAUCAUCUUCACACAAUAUUAGUAGUGUUUUGUGCUUGACCUGUAUGACAAAACACCACGGGGACAAGAAGAAACACUAUCAGUUCAGCGCUAUAGAAGCAGAAGCAAGAGUGAAUCAAAUCAGCUACUAGCUAGCAGUGUUGUAAGAUGCAUGUUUUGGGUUGUUACUUAUCUGGUGCACCCUGUGUGCAUGGGUAUAGAUAGAGUACUGGAAAGAGGUUCGUCAAAAUCAUUUAUAUAGGAAACACAUAUAUAAGGUCAGUGAAUUUCCACAUACAUGUUUUAUCUGAUCAAUGACGUUGUAACCUCCACUGAUCAUGAAAUUCACUAUUGUAUCCUCCCACCAAGGUAAUAAACAAUGUAGACGACCUAUCUGGAUAGAAAACCUUGUAAUCAAAAAGGUCAUAAGACAUAUAGCACAGUUGGUUCAGGUUUCUUAAAGAUCAGAGAGUCGGAACUUACAUUAGUCUACUAUAUACGUGUACUUAAUGGUAAGCCAUUGAAAAACAAUGAUGUUGCAUAUAAUCGAAGUGGUAUACUUUUCAACAAGUAGACCUGCAACAAUUUUUUUCGUCAAGAUAGUAAAUUAUGUUUGAAUUGAGAUCCUUCGAGUAACUUUUGGUGGGUUCAAGUAAAUUAUGUGCUAGUAUCUUUGUUCUGGAAUUUGCCUUAAAAUAGAGGUCUCUAAUUUUAUCUUGUAGUUAGUCUCUUUUGUGAAGAUUUCGUUCUAUCCUAGAUUAUAUCAUGGCUUUCUCUUGGUGUAUAUAAAAGUAUCAGAUGCAUACAUGUUGAGGCAGUGGUUACGGACUGCUUGGGGUUUACCCUGGUUUUGCUUUCUUACUGAGAUCUUUCUGUUAAACAUGAUCCCUUACUGAGAUCUUUUCAACUGGUUAUUGUCCAAUUAAGCAUGAUCCUUACUGAGAUCUUUCUGUCCAGCUAAAACAACUUUUCAACUGAUUAUUGUCCAGUAAAACAUGUUUAGUUAAAAUGGUUCUCAUCGCCAUUUUCCUUUUAUUGCUGUUAUUUCCUUUGGCCUUCUCCACAUCAAAUGAUGGCUUGGUUAGAAUUGCUUUUCAAAUGAUGGCUUGGUUAGAAUUGCUUUGAAAAAGAUCAAACUUGAUCAGAACAACAGACUUGCUGCGCUCGCCUCGAGGCCAAAGAGGGUAAGGCUAUGAGGGCCUCUAUUAGGAAAUACGACUUCCAUGAUAAUCUUGGGGCGUCUGAGGAUACUGACAUUGUAGCACUGAAGAACUAUAUGGAUGCUCAAUACUUCGGAGAAAUUGGUGUAGGUACUCCCCCUAAAAAAUUCAACGUGAUCUUUGAUACUGGUGUCCAAAAUGAAGAAAGUGAUGAAGACAUUGAUCUUACUAAAGAUUUUGGAAUUGUUGAUAGGUGCUCUAUUAUCAAUAUUUUUAAUAUUGAACUUCGUGAAACGUAUCGGGACUCGAACUAGAUACUAUGUAAAAACUUAACUAAUCAUUUGGGUACUUAAUUAACAUUUUGCUUUUAGAUUUAGAUUACUAAUUUGUUCCAUAUGUUGGAUUAUGUGAUUAUUAAUGAAUAGUUUUGUUUUGUAAUGUGUAUAUAAUUAUUUAUUAUAACUUAUUAUGAAUGUAAAUGCUAAUUUACAAUA